CAAAAAAUCUAAUUUCUUUUACAGGACCCAGAUGCUAUACAGUGGGAAAACCAGCCUGGCAACAUAGUGCGUAUUAAUAAAAGGACACCACAUCCUGCCAAAUUCCAGCUGCGCUAAUUGUAUUGUGUUCACAGAGCUCACAAGCUAUCAGAAAGUUGUAUGGCAACCACCUCCGGCGCCAAAUAGAACUGGCAGACAUAGACAUUCAGUACAAGAAGAAAAAGAUGGAAAAUCUUGCACUGGAGUCCGAAAUAAAAAAGAGGACAAUUUGGAAACUGGACCUUGAAAUAAAAAAACUUGAGAGGGAGCUCCAAGAAGAUGACACAGCUCAAAAUAAAAAUUAGCAAUCAGUACAACCAAGUCAUCGUUAUAAGGCAUCGCCCUCUUUUGCCCACCCCCCAGCACCAGGUGUGGCCACUAGCCUAUAUGAAGGCCCAAAAUUGUGUGUUCCUUUCUGCUCUGACAAUGGCAUGCCCAUUCGUGCGAGAUGUGGUGGAUGAAGAAGCACUUGUGCUGAGGAGAGCCUUCAGGCGAGAAAGGGUCUUCAGGGACCGGUUGGACCCACUGGCCUUCCUGAUGACCAUCUAUAUGAAAGAUACAGGUUUUCUGCAGAUGG